CCUGGUUUUUGCCAUCAGCGAGGUAUAGAGUUCCUACGUUAAAUUUAAAUACUCAUAGGAACUUCAUACCGUGCUCUUGGAAGACCAAA
rfam:Drosophila grimshawi strain TSC#15287-2541.00 scaffold_15110 genomic scaffold, whole genome shotgun sequence.